UGGGGAAUAUUGGAUAAUGGGGGGAACCCUGAUCCAGCCAUGCCGCGUGUGUGAAGAAGGCCUUAUGGUUGUAAAGCACUUUAAGCGAGGAGGAGGGUACUGGUAUUAAUACUACCAGCUACUGGACGUUACUCGCAGAAUAAGCACCGGCUAACUCUGUGCCAGCAGCCGCGGUAAUACAGAGGGUGCGAGCGUUAAUCGGAUUUACUGGGCGUAAAGCGUGCGUAGGCGGCUAAUUGAGUCGGAUGUGAAAUCCCCGAGCUUAACUUGGGAAUUGCAUUCGAUACUGGUUAGCUAGCGUGUGGGAGAAGAUGGUAGAAUUCCAGGUGUAGCGGUGAAAUGAGUAGAGAUCUGGAGGAAUACCGAUGGCGAAGGCAGCCAUCUAGCCUAACACUGACGCUGAGGUACGAAAGCAUGGGGAGCAAACAGG
rnacentral:rRNA from 1 species